CACUGUACCUUAGCUGUCGCUAAAGCGUGGGGCGAGGGAGGGAAAGGAUUCCUGCUGUUUCCACUACGGGAUUCCACGUAGGCCCUCCCAGGGCUGGCGGGGCAUACGGCUCUGUCAGUGCUGGAGACAAGAGGAACUACCCUCUCGGCUGAUAGCUGGAGACGACUGGAUGACCAGCUGCAGAGAGGCGCUUCUCUCUCUGCUGAAAGCUGCAUAGCUGGAGACAACUGGACAACCAGCUACCCGCUCCAGGGCCUCCUCUCUGCUGAGAACUGAACACUUGACCGAGGGAUGCCCUGCCUACAGAGAGGAGCUACCCACUGCCGGUCUCUUCUGGGCUGUUGUAACACUCGGUGCAUUUGCUUUGGAGGAAAUAGAAGCUGAAACACAGCCCAGGAUUGCAGAGGAACUCAGCCCUAAAAUUCUGAAGACCAGGGCUUGGGGCCUAAGCCUGCCACAGACUCACUGGAACCCUUGGGCAACUCACCCAGCUUUUCUGGGCCUGG